rnacentral:lncRNA from 1 species
GUGUUUUCUUUCCAUUAUCAGACUAUGCAAGGACGAAUUGAGCUGCAACAUAUCACAACAGAUCACAACAGGCUUAAGACAAAAGCCUGUCCCUCCUGCAACGUUUACGCAACAAUGUUCAAAAUAUCUCAGCGUGAAAAAAGAUCUUGGUUUUUCUUGCUAAAAAUUCUGCCAUACAUCGAAGGGGAAAGAGUCUUGAACGAUCUUCUGCCAACUGCAAAGUGAAAACGUGAAGAGGGAAAAAGACAAGAAGAAAAUCAUGUGUCAGAUGAUACGCCCUGAUGAUCGAAAAGGCAGAGAGGUAGAUAGGGAAUGGGUUUCAUAAGAAAGUGAGGGGGGGAACUCUCCAUUCACUCAGCAGAGAGCCUCCUCUCAGCAGUACCGGUAUCAGACAAAAAAAAAACCAUCCCAACAUCCUAACCGGAAUCACGUUUUCCUUUCACUUCCAAUUCACCUCCAACACUUCCCCAUUAGCUUAAGCAUUUUGGAUUACAUCAUCCACUAACUCACGGUUUUUCACUAACAAGAAGGAAACGAUACAAGGCAUUCAAAAAAGGAAAUCAAGGAGCAUUGAUUCAAAAUUACAGGCCAUAGCAAAAGAAUCAAAAUCAAAACACUGAGGUAAGUCUCACGAUCACAGCUUACUACCACUAUUCAUUCUGAUAUAUGUGUGAUUCUGUGUUUGCUAGCAUUUGGGUUCUGCUUGCUAGUCUUGAUUCGUAUGAGUUUAUGCUUCUACAUGAUAUUGUUGUUUUAUUCUGCUGCUUCGGCACCAUAAUGUUCUUCUCGGUUUGAUCUUUCCUUCUUCUUUCUAACCUCUGACGCACAAGAACCUUCAACUAUUCUUCCCCCACGUACUCACUGAACCACAGCAAAAACACCAUCAUUCUUCCCCCUUCGCCACCCUAUCCUACUCCAAUAACACAUGCUCACCAUCACACUCCAAGACACUACACUCAUCCUAGGAGUUUCAUCAAACACGUACCGUGCAGCUACAACAUCCCUCCAUCCAGCAUAAGCCAUCAACCACUCUUGCUACUGUGAUUGUCCUUCACCUACAACAGAAAACGCUCUAGAAAAUUGUAAGGCAAUCAAAAAGGAUGGGAGAAGUAUAAGAACAACACUCUAUGCCAAAUUCUCUUUAAGACAAAUCUGUGAGGCAAAUGGAAUUCUAUUAAAAUAAGAAAAUAGUUCAAGCGUAAAACAUGUACAAUCUCACCAAUGUGAGAUUCCAAUCCAAAACAGAAUGAAUGUGUAGUAGAAAAGAUUGUAAUCGAUAAGAAGAAAAGGAAAAAUGAUUUCGAUGUCGGCGGUGACGUUGAUGGAUGUGUUUGGUAUUUGAAGAAGAAGACUCUCGAACAGGGGAGCGUCACUGGCGGCGCCGGUGAGGAAGCGUCUCCGGCGAGGACGGCGUUGGUGUUGAACGGUGAAGCUGGUGACGGUUUGGGCAGUGGCUGGUCUAGUAGAGGCAACGACGUUUGGUCUCGUUGGUAGCGGCGCUAUUGAACUCGAGGAAGAGGAAAGGGUGAUUCAUUGCGACGGUUGGGGUCGCUGGCGAUGACGCGAAGGUGAGCCUCGACGACGGUGUAGGACGGCGGUUCAAUGGCUCCCCUGGCGGCGGUGAAUGUUUGGUCAUCGUGGAUGGCAUAGGGGAAGAAGAAUGGUGAAUGGGGAAGAGGGAAGGGUGACACCGUGACCGGCCGUGGUUCGGUGGUGUCCGCCGUCGACGGCGAGGUCGAGGCUGGAGGCAGUGAUGGCGCGCUGGCUGGUCUGGUUGGGUGGAGGCCAGGGUUGAGUGAGUGAGUGGUAGAGAGGAGACCCUGGGUCUCACAUAAUGCAAAUGAGAGAAUGGGAUGAGGAUCUGAGGACCCCUGAGAAUUCCCUAAUCUAAGAAGCAAAAAGGCCUUGGGCCUUCUGAUCCUCCAGCCUUUAAAAAAAAUAAAAUAAAAAAGAAAUAAAUAAGAAAAAUCCUUUCUCCUUGCCACCCCCGUUUCUCACCCGCGCACCCCCAUGUCCAUUUCGAAAAAUCUUUUCUUCCCAGCACACCCCCUAGUUCGCACCCCCAUUCUGUUUGGGCUUAAGCCCACUCUGUUUUAAAAAAAAAAAGGGAAUGACUUUGAACACCUCUCUUCUUGUCUAGGCACCAUAACACCUUUUUCACUUAUUAUUUUGUUUCUUUUAUUUUCUCACUUAACUUUUUUAGUUUAUUUUAUUUCUACUUUUUAUUUUCAUUUAGUUAUUUGCUUAUUUAUUUUAUUUCCGUUUUUUUACCUUUUAUUUUCAUUUUGCUAUUUACUUAUUUAUUUUAUUUUAUUUACUUUUAUAUAAAUAUCAAAAAUCACAAAAACAAAAAUUAUUUUAAAAGGUUUAAGCACACGUGCGACCAUUCGCGUCAGCCUUGUGUUGAAAACCUUUUUCUCUUUCUUUCAAAAAUAACAAAAAUAUUUUAAAAGGUUUAAGCACACGUGCGACCAUUCGCGUCAGCCUUGUGUUAAAACAUUUUCCUCCUUCUUUCAGAAAAUACAAAAUUUUUUAAAAGGUUUAAGCACAUGUGCGACCAUUCGCGUCAACCUUGUGUUAAAACCUUUUCCUCCUUCCUUCAGAAAAUACAAAUUUUUUUUAAAAGGUUCAAGCACACGUGCGACCAUUCGCGUCAGCCUUGUGUUAAAACCUUUUCCUCCUUCCUUCUAAAAAUACAAAAAUAUCUUAAAAGGUUUAAGCACACGCGCGACCAAUCGCGUCAGCCUUGUGUUAAAAC